UACGGAGGGUGCAAGCGUUAUCCGGAAUGAUUGGGCGUAAAGCGUCCGCAGGUGGCUGUGUAAGUCUGCUGUCAAAGAGCAAAGCUCAACUUUGUAAAGGCAGUGGAAACUACACGGCUAGAGUGCGUUCGGGGCAGAGGGAAUUCCUGGUGUAGCGGUGAAAUGCGUAGAGAUCAGGAAGAACACCGGUGGCGAAGGCGCUCUGCUGGGCCGCAACUGACACUGAGGGACGAAAGCUAGGGGAGCGAAUGGG
rnacentral:rRNA from 1 species